GUGUCUCCCUCUCUCUCUGCCCCUUCCUUGCUCAUGCUGUGUCUCUCUCUGUGUCAAGAAUAAAUAAACAUUAAAACAAAUUAAAAAAGAAAAAAAAAGAAACCUUAAACAACCUUAGAGAACAUAAGAAUACUUGGUCUCCGGCAUGUAGGAAAAAAGAAACAAAGUGAUGAGGCAGGGGGUACAGAAAAAGUAGUAGAGAGCAACAAAGAAUUUUAACUAAUUUUCCUUUUUUUUUUUUAAGGGCUCUGGUAGCGUUUGGAAUUGUGCUGAUAUCUGAAUUGAGGAUUGAUUGAUAGUAAGGUUGCAGUACAAUCUCAUUUGCAUAGCAAAUAUGAGCACCUAGUAUGCCACAUGUACUGUACUAACUGGGAGUGUACCCUUGGCUGACAAGAUAUAAACCCUGCCUUUGUGGAGGAGAGCUUCUAGACUUUUAGAUAAGUAAUUAUAGCAAAGUGUAGUGUGUGCCAUUGGUGAAGUGCAGGAUGCCAUACACACACCUAAGAGAGGAAUCUAAUGGAAGGUUAAGGAAGGUUUCUUGUAUGAAAUGAUGUUCAUGUUGAGUCUCAAAGGAUGGAUAGAAAUUAGGUUAGGAUUAGGGAAAAGUAUUCUAGGUAGAAGGACAGAAUAUAUAAAAAGGCCUGGAAACAAGACAGAACAAUGUAUACUAAGGAAUUGGAAAAAAAAAAAAUCAGUAUGACCACAUCUUGAAGUGUAAGGAAGCCUAUAGUGAGAAACAAAUCGAAAAGGUAGGAAGAGACUGAGUUUUUUAAUCCAUGGUGAGAAGUUUAGACUUCUACACUAGAGUAGUAGGUAGCCACCGAAACCUUUUAAGUAGAGGAAUAUCAUGAUUUGUAGUUUAGAAAAACUCCCCCUAACUGUUGUAUGAAAAUGGGUUGUAAUAAGACAACUUUGGAGGCAAGAAGAUAUGUUAGCAAAUUUUUGUAGUAAUCUAAAGUAUAGUAUAGAGGUGGCUUGAAUUAAGGCUGUGAUACCAGGGAUAAUAAGAUGUGAAGGGAUUUGAAAGAUAUUUUAGGAAGCAAAUUGGCCUAAAACAUAGGGCUUAUUGUGCCACUGGAUGUGAAGGAUAAGACAAAUGGGAAGUGUCAAAGAUUCCUAGAUUUCUGACUUGGUUAAUUGGAUAUAUGGUGGUUUAUUCAUUAGGGAAUCAGAAGAGAAACUGGUUUCUCAGAAGAUGAGGGGUAGGACGAGGUUGUGGUGAGCGAUGGGGAAACAUCUAGAUAUUAAUUCUCUUUUGGACUUAAUGAAUUUGAAAUGCUUGAAAGGCAUGUGGAGGUUUUCUUACAUGCUUGUAUCAUGUGUUGGCUGCAUGCCCAAGUACCAGAGCUGGAGAAAUUGACAAGACCUAGGAUCUGAAAUCCUGGACUUACUAGCUGUUUUGCCACGAUUGGUUCAUCAUCCAACUUUCCUAAUUCAGUUAAUAUAUCUUAAUAAAAAACAUUUUCAGGGGCUUGUAAUUUAUGUGACAGAUUUUUAAAUCCCAUUUUACCACUUUUUUUCACUUUGGAAUAUUUUUUAAAGUAAGGUUUUUAAAUUUAGCUUCCUUGAGGUAUAAUUUAUAUAAAAUAUAGUAUGGUUCAUCCAUUUCAAGAGAAGAGUUUUACAAAUGCAUACGGUCUUGUGACCACUCUUACAACUAACAUGGAACAUUUCCAUCACAUCCUAAAUGCCAGCCCCUGGCAAUUGCCAAUUUGCUUUCUAAUACUGAAAUUCUGCCCUUGCCAGGAUGUCAUAUAAAUAGUAUCAUAUGCUUUGUAGUUUUUUCGGGCUUCUUUCACUUAAAAUAAUGCUUUUGAGAUUUA